CCGAGGCCGCACGGUUUCUUCCCCGUAAACGCAAGACUUCGACUUCCACGCGUCCCUGCAUCCUCCCACCCCGAUUUUCCUUUCUGUUGCAGACUUGGCCUUCCGUUUGUCAUGGCAUGCAACCUUCCGCCGCCCGGUUUUCGUCCUCCCUUGACUAAGAGCGGGCCUUCUACACAUCCAGGCAUCCAGCACCUUCUUCCUCUCCAUUUCCAAAACCACGCCCAAUACCUGGAUUUCUUUCCCCUGCCUUGCGACCACGACUCGCCGCUAAGUUGACCCUACCAUACCCAAGAUCUGAGCUUCCUUCCUUUUUCCCACUCCAGCUAUUGACAGAGCCUCCCCACAAAAGCCAGGGGCCGGAGACGCCCUUCGAAGCCUGCGGUUACCUGCAGGAGAAGGUACGCUGGCGAUGACCCGGGAAUGCCACAGCCCUCACACGGUUAACCCCACAAGCGCACACUCUGGCAAUCCCAGCUGUGCUCCAGCUGUUUCUGCUUCUGACACGGCCUCCGCAGAAACCGAGAGCUGGGACGGCCCCGCUUCCAGGCUUUUGUCCCGACCCAGGCCCGGCCCCCUCAGUCCACCUCCCGGAGCUCCGCCCCUGCCCCGCCGCCAAUCGCCGCGCGCUGACCCGCUGAGAUGGGCGGGGCCAGGGGCCAGGGGCGGGUCCCGGAAGGCUAGGUCGAAUUCCGCGGCGAAUUCCAAGCGCUCAAGGUAGGGAAGGGCUUGCAGCGCCUUUGGAGUCGGCCGCCACUGCUCUACGGCAGAAGGACGAGAUUGCCACCUGCAGGCUGGGGAGCAGGGCACGCCUGGGCCGGUCUUCUGAAUCCUCCGCCGACAACCUAGGGCCCGGCGGAGUGAGUUUCCACUUCUGCAAUAAAGGCAAACCGGGGACGGCGCGGCUCGGACCAAUCCCCUUCCCUGCGCGCCCCGGCUGUGUGGUACACUGGAACGCGCUUGGACAGAAGGAAAAGUGCCGUGGGCAAGCGUGACAUCGCUUUGGGGGCUUCGCGCAGCUGGAAUGCAAAGGGUUGAGCAGUUGCACAAGCAGGCAUGGUACAGUAAAUUUCCGCCACCGCCGAUGACUAAGUCUUUAGAGCUUCGAAAGGAUUUAGAGCAACCUUCAAGAUACAUACAGUAUAGCACGACAAAGGACAUUGAAUAUAGGUGAGGAAAAGAUAGAAUAAAUACAGGAAAUUGUACAGAACCAAGCUCACAGGAAACAUCCUGACCAGGUGGACCUGUGGAUGACUGCAGGGAGGAAGAAAUUAACACAUCUUCUAUGGAGGCUGACUGGAACCAGGAAAUGUUUGACUUCACUCCCUCCCCUUUUAGUAUAAAAGAAGCCUGAAUUCUAACUCAGGCAAGAUGGUUCUUUGGGGGCACGAGUUCACCAUCUUCUUGGUUUGCUGGGUUUCUGAAUAAACUCGCUUGCCCCAACA